GAUGAAGAACGCAGCGAAAUGCGAUAAGUAGUGUGAAUUGCAGAAUUCAGUGAAUCAUCGAAUCUUUGAACGCACAUUGCGCCCUUUGGUAUUCCAAAGGGCAUGCCUGUUCGAGCGUCAUUUGUACCCUCAAGCUUUGCUUGGUGUUGGGCGUCUUGUCUCCAGUUCGCUGGAGACUCGCCUUAAAGUAAUUGGCAGCCGGCCUACUGGUUUCGGAGCGCAGCACAAGUCGCGCUCUCUUCCAGCCAAGGUCAGCGUCCACAAAGCCUUUUUUCAACUUUUGACCUCGGAUCAGGUAGGGAUACCCGCUGAACUUAAGCAUAUCAAUAAGCGGAGGA
rnacentral:misc_RNA from 1 species